rnacentral:rRNA from 1 species
AUGGCGACGGAGGCGUUCGAGAUGUACCGGCAGUCGGAGAUCGGCUACGCCCUCACCGAGACGCUGGACGAGAUGGUGAGCAGCGGCGUGCUCAGCCCCGACCUCGCCAUCACCGUCCUCCUGCAGUUCGACAAGUCCAUGGGACACGCGCUGGAUAAGCAUGUCAAGAGCAGGGCCUUCUUCAAGCGCGGCAAUCUGCGCACAUACAGGAACUGCGAUGACGUCUGGACAUUAAUCUUGAGAGACGUGACGUUCAAGAACGAGGAUAUCGAAACAGUCCUCCACAAAGUGAAGAUCGUCGCCUGCGAUUCUGCUGCGCUUAAGAAGCCUCUCGAACCUAUUACUUGCCAUCAGUGCCAACCAUAG